rnacentral:misc_RNA from 1 species
GAUGAAGAACGUAGCGAAAUGCGAUAAGUAGUGUGAAUUGCAGAAUUCAGUGAAUCAUCGAAUCUUUGAACGCACAUUGCGCCCUUUGGUAUUCCUUAGGGCAUGCCUGUUCGAGCGUCAAUUAAACCUUCAAGCUCAGCUUGGUGAUGGGUGACUGUCCUCCCCUCGCGGGGGGACUCGCCUCAAAAACAUUGGCGGCCGGUACAUUGGCUUCGAGCGCAGCAGAAACGCGGUCUCGAGCCCGGUGGAUCGGCUCCCAUAAGCCUCUUCUUUUAUUUUGACCUCGGAUCAGGUAGGGAUACCCGCUGAACUUAAGCAUAUCAAUAAGCGGAGGA